CGUACACUCGGUGCCGUUGGUGCUCGCGGUGUGGUUCACAUGCCGCAGUUCAACGGGAAGCAGGAAGGUGCCGUCGUCAUCCACGGCGCACCCGGCCUGCGCUGCCCCCGCAACGGUCAGCGGACGAAUCAUCCGAUUCCCUCCCCCAUCCAUACGCCACUGUGUGCCUUGGCAAACCAAGCGCAUGGGAAGGCUUGGGGGGGUGUUCCGCCAGCCCGGAUACCGGCCAACAUGGUGGCUGCGCG
rnacentral:ncRNA from 2 species